GCUCAUUAAAUCAGUUAUCGUUUAUUUGAUAGUACCUUACUACUUGGAUAACCGUGGUAAUUCUAGAGCUAAUACAUGCUAAAAACCCCAACUUCGGGAGGGGUGUAUUUAUUAGAUAAAAAACCAAUGCCCUUCGGGGCUCCUUGGUGAUUCAUGAUAACUUCUCAGAUCGCAUGGCUUUACGCCGGCGACGGUUCAUUCAAAUUUCUGCCCUAUCAACUUUCGAUGGUAAGGUAUUGGCUUACCAUGGUUUCAACGGGUAACGGGGAAUUAGGGUUCGAUUCCGGAGAGGGAGCCUGAGAAACGGCUACCACAUCCAAGGAAGGCAGCAGGCGCGCAAAUUACCCAAUUCCGAUACGGAGAGGUAGUGACAAUAAAUACUGAUACAGGGCUCUUUUGGGUCUUGUAAUUGGAAUGAGUACAAUUUAAACCUCUUAACGAGGAACAAUUGGAGGGCAAGUCUGGUGCCAGCAGCCGCGGUAAUUCCAGCUCCAAUAGCGUAUAUUAAAGUUGUUGCAGUUAAAAAGCUCGUAGUUGAACCUUUGGCCUGGCUGGCAGGUCCGCCUCACCGCGUGCACUUGUCCGGCCGGGCCUUUUCUUCUGGAGAACCGCAUGCCCUUCACUGGGUGUGUUGGGGACCAGGACUUUUACUUUGAAAAAAUUAGAGUGUUCAAAGCAGGCCUUUGCUCGAAUACGUUAGCAUGGAAUAAUAGAAUAGGACGUGCGGUCCUAUUUUGUUGGUUUCUAGGACCGCCGUAAUGAUUAAUAGGGACAGUCGGGGGCAUCAGUAUUCAAUUGUCAGAGGUGAAAUUCUUGGAUUUAUUGAAGACUAACUACUGCGAAAGCAUUUGCCAAGGAUGUUUUCAUUAAUCAGUGAACGAAAGUUAGGGGAUCGAAGACGAUCAGAUACCGUCGUAGUCUUAACCAUAAACUAUGCCGACUAGGGAUCGGGCGGUGUUUCUAUUGUGACCCGCUCGGCACCUUACGAGAAAUCAAAGUGUUUGGGUCUG
rnacentral:rRNA from 1 species